rfam:Pteropus alecto contig81577, whole genome shotgun sequence.
GUCUGCGGCCAUGCCACCCUGAACAAGCCUGAUCCCAUCUGAUCUCAGAAGCUAAGCAGAGUUGGGCCUGGUUAGUACUUGGAUGGGAGACUGGUUAGUACUUGGAUGCGAGACCACCUAGGAAGACCCAUUGCUGUAGGAG